rnacentral:rRNA from 1 species
CGGCGGACGGGUGAGUAACACGUGGAUAACCUACCUAUAAGACUGGGAUAACUUCGGGAAACCGGAGCUAAUACCGGAUAAUAUAUUGAACCGCAUGGUUCAAUAGUGAAAGACGGUUUUGCUGUCACUUAUAGAUGGAUCCGCGUCGCAUUAGCUAGUUGGUAAGGUAACGGCUUACCAAGGCAACGAUGCGUAGCCGACCUGAGAGGGUGAUCGGCCACACUGGAACUGAGACACGGUCCAGACUCCUACGGGAGGCAGCAGGC